rnacentral:rRNA from 1 species
AACGAACGCUGGCGGCAUGCCUAACACAUGCAAGUCGAACGAGACCUUCGGGUCUAGUGGCGCACGGGUGCGUAACGCGUGGGAACCUGCCCUUAGGUUCGGAAUAACUCCCCGAAAGGGGUGCUAAUACCGGAUAAUGUCUUCGGACCAAAGAUUUAUCGCCUUUGGAUGGGCCCGCGUUGGAUUAGCUAGUUGGUAGGGUAAAAGCCUACCAAGGCGACGAUCCAUAGCUGGUCUGAUAGGAUGAUCAGCCACACUGGGACUGAGACACGGCCCAGACUCCUACGGGAGGCAGCAGUGGGGAAUAUUGGACAAUGGGCGAAAGCCUGAUCCAGCAAUGCCGCGUGAGUGAUGAAGGCCUUAGGGUUGUAAAGCUCUUUUACCCGGGAUGAUAAUGACAGUACCGGGAGAAUAAGCGCCGGCUAACUCCGUG